AAUAUUGGACAAUGGGCGAAAGCCUGAUCCAGCCAUGCCGCGUGUGUGAAGACGGUCUUCGGAUUGUAAAGCACUUUAAGUGUGGAGGAAGGGUUGUAGGUUAAUACCCUGCCAUUUUGACGUUACCAAGAGAAUAAGCACCGUCUAUCUGCGUUCCAUCAGCCGCGGUAAUACGAAGGGUGCAAGCGUUAAUCGGAAUUACUGGGCGUAAAGCGCGCGUAGGUGGUUCGUUAAGUUGGAAGUGAAAGCCCCGGGCUUAACCUGGGAAUUGCUUUCAAAACUGACGAGCUAGAGUACGGUAGAGGGUAGUGGAAUUUCCUGUGUAGCGGUGAAAUGCGUAGAUAUAGGAAGGAACAUCAGUGGCGAAGGCGACUACCUGGACUGAUACUGACACUGAGGUGCGAAAGCGUGGGGAGCAAACAGG
rnacentral:rRNA from 1 species